GAUGAACGCUGGCGGCGUGCCUAAUACAUGCAAGUCGAGCGAACAGACGAGGAGCUUGCUCCUCUGACGUUAGCGGCGGACGGGUGAGUAACACGUGGAUAACCUACCUAUAAGACUGGGAUAACUUCGGGAAACCGGAGCUAAUACCGGAUAAUAUAUUGAACCGCAUGGUUCAAUAGUGAAAGACGGUUUUGCUGUCACUUAUAGAUGGAUCCGCGCCGCAUUAGCUAGUUGGUAAGGUAACGGCUUACCAAGGCAACGAUGCGUAGCCGACCUGAGAGGGUGAUCGGCCACCCUGGAACUGAGACACGGUCCAGACUCCUACGGGAGGCAGCCGUAGGGAAUCUUCCGCAAUGGGCGAAAGCCUGACGGAGCAACGCCGCGUGAGUGAUGAAGGUCUUCGGAUCGUAAAACUCUGUUAUUGGGGAAGAACAAAUGUGUAAGUAACUAUGCACGUCUUGACGGUACCUAAUCAGAAAGCCACGGCUAACUACGUG
rnacentral:rRNA from 1 species